UACGUAGGGUGCGAGCGUUAAUCGGAAUUACUGGGCGUAAAGGGUGCGCAGGCGGAUAAUUAAGUUAGGAGUGAAAUCCCCGAGCUCAACUUGGGAAUUGCUUUUAAGACUGGUUAUCUAGAGUUUGUCAGAGGGGGGUAGAAUUCCAGGUGUAGCAGUGAAAUGCGUAGAGAUCUGGAGGAAUACCAAUGGCGAAGGCAGCCCCCUGGGAUAAAACUGACGCUCAUGCACGAAAGCGUGGGUAGCAAACAGG
rnacentral:rRNA from 1 species